CCUACGGGAGGCAGCAGUGGGGAAUAUUGCACAAUGGGGGAAACCCUGAUGCAGCGACGCCGCGUGAGUGAAGAAGUAUUUCGGUAUGUAAAGCUCUAUCAGCAGGGAAGAWGAUGACGGUACCUGASUAAGAAGCCCCGGCUAACUACGUGCCAGCAGCCGCGGUAAU
rnacentral:rRNA from 1 species